rnacentral:rRNA from 1 species
AACGAACGCUGGCGGCAUGCCUAACACAUGCAAGUCGAACGAGACCUUCGGGUCUAGUGGCGCACGGGUGCGUAACGCGUGGGAACCUGCCUUUAGGUUCGGAAUAACUCAGAGAAAUUUGAGCUAAUACCGGAUAAUGUCUUCGGACCAAAGAUUUAUCGCCUUUAGAUGGGCCCGCGUUGGAUUAGCUAGUUGGUGGGGUAAAGGCCUACCAAGGCGACGAUCCAUAGCUGGUCUGAGAGGAUGAUCAGCCACACUGGGACUGAGACACGGCCCAGACUCCUACGGGAGGCAGCAGUGGGAAUAUUGGACAAUGGGCGAAAGCCUGAUCCAGCAAUGCCGCGUGAGUGAUGAAGGCCUUAGGGUUGUAAAGCUCUUUUACCCGAGAUGAUAAUGACAGUAUCGGGAGAAUAAGCUCCGGCUAACUCCGUGCCAGUAGACCGCGGUAAAGUGACU